UGCCAGCCGCCGCGGUAAUACGGAGGGGGUUAGCGUUGUUCGGAAUUACUGGGCGUAAAGCGCACGUAGGCGGACUAAUCAGUCAGGGGUGAAAUCCCGGGGCUCAACCCCGGAACUGCCUUUGAUACUGUUAGUCUUGAGUUCGAGAGAGGUGAGUGGAAUUCCAAGUGUAGAGGUGAAAUUCGUAGAUAUUUGGAGGAACACCAGUGGCGAAGGCGACUCACUGGCUCGAUACUGACGCUGAGGUGCGAAAGUGUGGGGAGCAAACAGGAUUAGAUA
rnacentral:rRNA from 1 species